rnacentral:misc_RNA from 1 species
UGCUCCUUGCUGCAACCACAG